CAAAUGGAAGAAUAUCGAUUACAAAACACUAUCAAAGACAUGACACAUAAGGAAAACACAAAGGAUACAACAAACUAGCAAAUAUCAUGUAAACCACUACUUGGUUAAAAGAUUGUAGCUGAACUAUAUUGCGGCUCUGUAACAAGAACGACGUUCAUGUGAACCAUUUUCUUGUAUUGCUGCUGCUCUGUACACAGUACACACAAGUCUUCCUUUUAUACAAGUUAAAUAGGACUCACGGUCCUUGCUUGUAUUAUUAAAUAAAUAUGGCGAAA
rnacentral:lncRNA from 1 species